CGUCAAAGCCUUAUUGGGGUAAUGAAUAGGUCCCCAGAGCAAACUAAAACCCUUCCCCAGUACUGAGUAAUUCCAUAUGUUUAUGGAAAAUAUUAUGUUAAAACUAGUAACACGAAAUUAAACCCUCUCUUAAAUGUACGUCUAAGUCAGAAUGGAGUAUACACUGACAACUAACAGCUUAGACUAAAGUAGUAAAAUAUUCAAGAAAACUCAACUUAUUUAUCUGUUAAUCUAACACAAGAACAUUAAAAGAAAGACUUAAAGAGAAAGAAGGAACUCGGCAAAACUGAUUCCGCCUGUUUACCAAAAACAUCGCCUCUUGAAUCUUAACUAUAAGAGGUCCAGCCUGCCCAGUGACUCUGUUUAACGGCCGCGGUAACCUAACCGUGCGAAGGUAGCGUAAUCACCUGUUUUUUAAUUAAAGACCUGUAUGAAAGGCAUCACGAGAAUCACACUGUCUCCUUUCUCAAGUCAGUGAAACUAAUCUCCUCGUGAAAAAGCGAGGAUAACAUUACAAGACGAGAAGACCCUUUGGAGCUUAAGACAAAAUAGAUACUUGCCUUAUUUUAACCCCCCAUCACACAGCAUACUACCUAUAAGUCUUGGGUUGGGGCAAUCACGGAGUAAAAACAAACCUCCGAGCUGAAUGGAAAUUUCCUAAACAAAAAGCAACAACUUUAUGUAUCAACAAACUGACACAAUUUGACCCAAUACAUUUGAUUAACGAACCAAGUUACCCCAGGGAUAACAGCGCAAUCCACUUAAAGAGUUCAUAUCGAAAAGUGGGCUUACGACCUCG
rnacentral:rRNA from 1 species